GCAAUUACAAAAUUUUAUUAGUGAAUUAAGCUUGUUUAAGCUUUGUUUGUCAUCUCUCUCCUUUUCUCUGUGUUUAAAUUUUAUUAGUGCUACUGUAUUUAAAUUUCGUUCAUGUACUAAUGUUAGGAUGUUUAAUCUCUGUUUUGAGGUUGUGUUAAGUAGUCUAGCUUAUCCAGUAGAUAACUUGUCCCCUGUUUUGUGAUUUUUUUUUUUCUUCUUAUGAAACCAUGUGUCUUAUAAACCAUGGCAUAAAACUCAAAUUCGUACUUCUGUCCCAAUUGGCGUGCCGCCUCAUCUUCUUUAUACUGUUACCAGCUUGAAGCUUUUGUAGGUAUGUUAGGCUCUUGUAGUUCUGAGUGCUUGACAAAUUGAAAGUUGCAAUUAGAUCUUUUAGCAGAAGUUGUGGAGGAGUUAGUCGCACAGAAUGAAAAACUACAUAUGCCAUCUUCUUUCAUACCAUUUUUCAAAAGUCCAUUCGUCCCAUUCUUCUUCAACAAUGCAGGAAGUUAUACCAGACGCAUGGUUCAAUGGAGACUUGAGAAACUUUCCCAUGUUUGGAGGUCAAAGCAACUCAUGUAGGCAACGAUGCAUGAUUUUAGAGUCGAAGCUGAUGCUGUAAUGAUAAAUUUCACCUUAGCACUGUAAAUGCCUUUCUGUGCUCGCUUCUUCUGAUCAAACCAAGCAGUUUCAUACAUUGCAUGCAUUGUUUCAUCAGCAUUUCAGACGGAAAAUGGGCCUUGAAUUGUCUUCUAAGCCAACGGAUUUUUAUAGAAUCUGAAGUGUAAUGGAAAAUUACUGAAUUGAUCUACACACAGAGUAAACAUUUAUUCUGUUGGAUGCUUGAUGUGCCUCUUAUAAGUGGCUAAGUUGCAAUAUGUGGUGUCAUCAAAUACUCUGCAAAGAGCAGUUCAAGUUGACACCGGAGUUGAACAAGGAUUAGGUCAGCUUUAUAUUUCGCGGAACAGAUCAAGCAUAGUCAUACAUGGCAUGGGUCACUUUCAUCAUCAUUUCAGACGUAAAAUCAGCCUUCAACUGUCUACUGAGUCAAUAGACCUUUCUAGGUAUCUCAAGUGCAAUGGAAAAUUCAUGACUGACUUAAAGAUUCACAAAGAACUCUUCGAAAUGUGGACUGCAGAGAGAUUUGCUGAUGAUUGCAACACUUGCAAAGAUAUAGGUUGAAGGAAUCAGAGCUAACCGUGAGGGCCGCUGAUGCGCAAUGUUAUUGAAACUGGCAACAUGGUCCGAAGUGGCAAUUUCAUGCCUGAUGGCUUCAGAAGCAAAGCUCUAGUAAGGAAAUUGGUCGCAGCCCAUUCUCAAAGUUUUUGUUUGCAUAUGUAAGAGAUUGGGGUAUUUUUAUUGAAAGGAGAUGACAUGUUCCCUAGAAUAGCCAAUCUAAGUUCCUCUCCAAGUUUUUUUUUUUUU